rnacentral:rRNA from 1 species
ACGAACGCUGGCGGCGUGGAUAAGACAUGCAAGUCGAACGGGAGAAUUGCUAGCUUGCUAAUAAUUCUCUAGUGGCGCACGGGUGAGUAACACGUGAGUAACCUGCCUCUUAGUGGGGGAUAGCCCUGGGAAACCGGGAUUAAUACCGCAUACGAUUGAAAGAUCAAGGCAGCAAUGCGCUAGGAGAUGGGCUCGCGGCCUAUUAGUUAGUUGGUGAGGUAACGGCUCACCAAGGCGAUGACGGGUAGCCGGUCUGAGAGGAUGUCCGGCCACACUGGAACUGAGACACGGUCCAGACACCUACGGGUGGCAGCAGUCGAGAAUCAUUCACAAUGGGGGCAACCCUGAUGGUGCGACGCCGCGUGGGGGAAUGAAGGUCUUCGGAUUGUAAACCCCUGUCAUGUGGGAGCAAAUUAAAAAGAUAGUACCACAAGAGGAAGAGACGGCUAACUCUGUGCCAGCAGCCGCGGUAAUACAGAGGUCUCAAGCGUUGUUCGGAAUCACUGGGCGUAAAGCGUGCGUAGGCUGUUUCGUAAGUCGUGUGUGAAAGGCAGGGGCUCAACCCCUGGAUUGCACAUGAUACUGCGAGACUAGAGUAAUGGAGGGGGAACCGGAAUUCUCGGUGUAGCAGUGAAAUGCGUAGAUAUCGAGAGGAACACUCGUGGCGAAGGCGGGUUCCUGGACAUUAACUGACGCUGAGGCACGAAGGCCAGGGGAGCGAAAGGGAUUAGAUACCCCUGUAGUCCUGGCAGUAAACGGUGCACGCUUGGUGUGCGGGGAAUCGACCCCCUGCGUGCCGGAGCUAACGCGUUAAGCGUGCCGCCUGGGGAGUACGGUCGCAAGAUUAAAACUCAAAGAAAUUGACGGGGACCCGCACAAGCGGUGGAGUAUGUGGCUUAAUUCGAUGCAACGCGAAGAACCUUACCUGGGCUUGACAUGUAAUGAACAACAUGUGAAAGCAUGCGACUCUUCGGAGGCGUUACACAGGUGCUGCAUGGCCGUCGUCAGCUCGUGUCGUGAGAUGUUUGGUUAAGUCCAGCAACGAGCGCAACCCCUGUUGCCAGUUACCAGCACGUCAAGGUGGGGACUCUGGCGAGACUGCCCAGAUCAACUGGGAGGAAGGUGGGGACGACGUCAGGUCAGUAUGGCCCUUAUGCCCAGGGCUGCACACGUACUACAAUGCCCAGUACAGAGGGGGCCGAAGCCGCGAGGCGGAGGAAAUCCUGAAAACUGGGCCCAGUUCGGACUGUAGGCUGCAACCCGCCUACACGAAGCCGGAAUCGCUAGUAAUGGCGCAUCAGCUACGGCGCCGUGAAUACGUUCCCGGGUCUUGUACACACCGCCCGUCACAUCAUGGAAGCCGGUCGCACCCGAAGUAUCUGAAGCCAACCGCAAGGAGGCAGGGUCCUAAGGUGAGACUGGUAACUGGGAUG